rnacentral:rRNA from 1 species
CCAGACUCCUACGGGAGGCAGCAGUAGGGAAUCUUCGGCAAUGGACGAAAGUCUGACCGAGCAACGCCGCGUGAGUGAAGAAGGUUUUCGGAUCGUAAAACUCUGUUGGUAGAGAAGAACGUUGGUGAGAGUGGAAAGCUCAUCAAGUGACGGUAACUACCCAGAAAGGGACGGCUAACUACGUGCCAGCGGCCGCGGUAAUACGUAGGUCCCGAGCGUUGUCCGGAUUUAUUGGGCGUAAAGCGAGCGCAGGUGGUUUAUUAAGUCUGGUGUAAAAGGCAGUGGCUCAACCAUUGUAUGCAUUGGAAACUGGUAGACUUGAGUGCAGGAGAGGAGAGUGGAAUUCCAUGUGUAGCGGUGAAAUGCGUAGAUAUAUGGAGGAACACCGGUGGCGAAAGCGGCUCUCUGGCCUGUAACUGACACUGAGGCUCGAAAGCGUGGGGAGCAAACAGGAUUAGAUACCCUGGUAGUCCACGCCGUAAACGAUGAGUGCUAGAUGUAGGGAGCUAUAAGUUCUCUGUAUCGCAGCUAACGCAAUAAGCACUCCGCCUGGGGAGUACGACCGCAAGGUUGAAACUCAAAGGAAUUGACGGGGGCCCGCACAAG